CGGGGUGCAGCAGGCGCGAAAACUUUGCAAUACACGAAAGUGUGACAGGGUCAUCCCGAGUGCCGACCGCUGAGGUUGGCUUUUACCCAGUCUAGAAAGCUGGGGGAAUAAGGAGAGGGCAAGUCUGGUGUCAGCCGCCGCGGUAAUACCAGCUCUCCGAGUGGUGUGGACGUUUAUUGGGCCUAAAGCAUCCGUAGCUGGCUGAACAAGUCCCCUGUUAAACCCACCGAUUUAAUCGUUGGUCUGCGGGGGAUACUGCUCGGCUAGGGGACGAGAGAGGCAGACGGUAUUCCCGGGGUAGGGGUGAAAUCCUAUAAUCCCGAGAAGACCACCAGUGGCGAAGGCUGUCUGCUAGAACGCGCCCGACGGUGAGGGAUGAAAGCUGGGGGAGCGAACCGGAUUAGAUACCCGGGUAGUCCCAGCUGUAAACGAUGCAGACUAGGUGUUUGGACGGCCACGUGCCGUUCUAGUGCCGCAGGGAAGCUGUUAAGUCUGCCGCCUGGGGAGUACGAUCGCAAGAUUGAACCUUAAAGGAAUUGGCGGGGGAGCACAAGGGCGAAUCGC
rnacentral:rRNA from 1 species